UGGGGGGCGGAGGACACGUGAGUUUGCCCCUGACAGACACAGAUAUUCUGGGAGAAGAAACGGAACAAUAGGCAGGAGAAGCAGGAGCUGGGAAACCAGAGGGAAGUUGUUUAGAUUGUGGGGAAACUGAGUUCAAGGUGUACUUGUUUCAAUUUUAUUCGAACUUAGAAGAGGUUGUCUCGAGACUGCCUCUGCACCUACCCAGUGUGACGAUCCAACAUACCAUGCCUGAUUACACUUUGCUUUCUGGGUUCCACAUGGCUACAUGCUAACAGAGACACGGCAAAGGGACCCAAGGUCUGGGUCUGAAUAACAACUUCCCUGAUUGAUUGCAGACUGAAGAUUCCUUGGCGCAGAGAAGAUUGGGGGAAGGAGACAAAAGGACACCGGAUGGUGCAGGCCACUCUGAGCAUUUGCCGGACAGGCUCGAACAGUGAAUAGUGAUUUAUCCAACAAGAGCCUUGAGGUUGCUUUUAAUUCCACAAAAGUGAUUCUAACUUUCGCACCGGUCAAGAUUUUAUCAUUAUAUCCAGUGAACUCUAAUGGGGAUACAGUGGUUUCUGAUGUGAAUCUCCAGUUCCUUCACAGUAAGGAACUGGGCCUAAAAGCAGGAUGAAAGGUGAUCUCUGAGAGAACCUAAUUCAAGACAAGCAUCUUAGUCAUUAUUGAUCGAAGUGUUCCGGUUCCCUGCUAUGAAGUGGUGUAUUCCACACUUCUUCCGUAUGACUUUUCUUUUAUCUGGCUUAAUAAUCACUCCAAAUCAAAGGUGAGAAGCUCAAGAGCAGGACAGAUCUCUAGCCAUCGUCAGCUCGUUUGAACUAUCUCAUUUGAUAGCUUUAUCUUGCAAUAUGACUUGCACUCCUAACCUGGGAACACAGACAAAUUCCCAUAUUCACUUGUGUUAUUUUAUAGUCAUUGCUACUGGGCUGGGGGUGGGAAGGCACAUUACAAAGGCAGUAGAUUUCAAGUACUAUUAAAAUGAUCAGAAGAUUUAUUAAGCCCCAGGAGCUGGCAGGGUAGUAUAUCAGUUACCCAGGGCCCUUGUUUAUAAAGGAAAAAAAAUACUAAAACAAGAUUAGAAAAUCCUAACUAUUUAUAGCAUGUAAAAUACAUAUUUGGGUCUACCAUGCUAAGCAGAUUGACCCCUCUCAAGGAUUCUGGAGGGGAAAAAAAGACUCCUUAAGAGUCUAAUUUAAGAAUUAGUGCUAACUCAACUUAGAACAAGCCACUGAAUUGUAACCAACAUGCUUCAACACCUGUAGGAAAUGGGAAAGCACAUCUAGCUCCUUAUUUACUUUAUGGAUAUGUCACCCUAAGUAUCUCAUAGUAAAAGUAUAUGGGGCUAGUUUUCAUGGUCAUGUCACUGGUUCUCGUAGUAGGAGAGGAAUUCCAUAAUGCGUAGGUGGGUCAUGUUUGGCAAA